GAUGAACGCUAGCUACAGGCUUAACACAUGCAAGUCGAGGGGCAGCAUUGGAGUAGCAAUACUUCAGAUGGCGACCGGCGCACGGGUGAGUAACACGUAUCCAACCUGCCGCUUACUCGGGGAUAGCCUUUCGAAAGAAAGAUUAAUACCCGAUGGUAUAAAGAGUUCGCAUGUUCUCUUUAUUAAAGAAUUUCGGUAAGCGAUGGGAUGCGUUCCAUUAGAUAGUUGGCGGGGUAACGGCCCACCAAGUCUACGAUGGAUAGGGGUUCUGAGAGGAAGGUCCCCCACAUUGGAACUGAGACACGGUCCAAACUCCUACGGGAGGCAGCAGUGAGGAAUAUUGGUCAAUGGACGAGAGUCUGAACCAGCCAAGUAGCGUGAAGGAUGACUGCCCUAUGGGUUGUAAACUUCUUUUAUAAGGGAAUAAAGUGAGGGACGUGUCCCUUUUGUAUGUACCUUAUGAAUAAGGAUCGGCUAACUCCGUG
rnacentral:rRNA from 1 species